GACCACUAUGGUGGCCUAGUGGUUUGAGCGUCCUCCUAGGAUGCGGGAUGUUGCGGGUUUAAACCCCAUCCGAGUCA